CCGGUUGAAAUCCAUCUCUUCUUCCGUUAUGAAUGCUCAAGGCCCCCACAGCAUUUUGAACUGAGAUCUGUAUGGACCUAUGGAAAUCUGCAUCAACCCUAUGGAGCGUAGCCUGCCAGCCUCUUAUGUCUGUGGGAUUUCCCAGGCAGGAACACUGGGUAACUGAGUAUCUGCGACAUCUGAGUGAGACCACGUGGAGGAUACACGCUUCGGCUGCUACUUCUCCAGAUCUCUUGCUCCAUCUCUUCUACCCUCUCCCUCCCUGCUCCCAACCAAUUCUUUAAACCAUAUCCAAGCCACAUGAAAGAAUCGAUUCCACCAGGCUUCACUUCCUUCCUUCAACACCUCCACUAAGUCACAAUCGGAAACUAAAGAACCCCAGAUUCCUCUUCUGUAUCCUAG
ensembl:lncRNA